rnacentral:rRNA from 1 species
GAUGAACGCUAGCGAUAGGCUUAACACAUGCAAGUCGAGGGACCGGCGCACGGGUGCGUAACGCGUAUGCAACUUGCCUCACAGAAGGGGAUAACCCGUCGAAAGACGGACUAAUACCGCGUACUGUGAGAUAGGCAUGCGUCCCAUUAGCUAGUUGGUGAGGUAACGGCUCACCAAGGCAACGAUGGGUAGGGGAACUGAGAGGUUGAACCCCCACACUGGUACUGAGACACGGACCAGACUCCUACGUGCGGCAGUAGUGAGGGAAAUUGGUCAAUGCGCGAGAGCCUGAACCUGCCAAGUAGCGUGAAGGAUGACUGUAUAUGGAUUGUAAACUUCUUUUGUAGGGGAAUAUGUUUCCUACUAAUAAGCAUCGGCUAACUCCGUGCCAGCAGCCGCGGGAAUUC